rnacentral:rRNA from 1 species
UGGGGGAUCUUCCGCAAUGGACGAAAGUCUGACGGAGCAACGCCGCGUGAGUGAUGACGGCCUUCGGGUUGUAAAGCUCUGUUAAUCGGGACGAAUGGUUCUUGUGCGAAUAGUGCGAGGAUUUGACGGUACCGGAAUAGAAAGCCACGGCUAACUACGUGCCAGCAGCCGCGGUAAUACGUAGGUGGCAAGCGUUGUCCGGAAUUAUUGGGCGUAAAGCGCGCGCAGGCGGAUUGGUCAGUCUGUCUUAAAAGUUCGGGGCUUAACCCCGUGAUGGGAUGGAAACUGCCAAUCUAGAGUAUCGGAGAGGAAAGUGGAAUUCCUAGUGUAGCGGUGAAAUGCGUAGAUAUUAGGAAGAACACCAGUGGCGAAGGCGACUUUCUGGACGAAAACUGACGCUGAGGCGCGAAAGCCAGGGGAGCGAACGGGAUUAGAUACCCCGGUAGUCCUGGCCGUAAACGAUGGGUACUAGGUGUAGGAGGUAUCGACCCCUUCUGUGCCGGAGUUAACGCAAUAAGUACCCCGCCUGGGGAGUACGACCGCAAGGUUG